rnacentral:rRNA from 1 species
CCAGACUCCUACGGGAGGCAGCAGUGGGGAAUAUUGCACAAUGGGGGAAACCCUGAUGCAGCGACGCCGCGUGGGUGAAGAAGCGCCUCGGCGCGUAAAGCCCUGUCAGCAGGGAAGAAAAUGACGGUACCUGAAGAAGAAGCCCCGGCUAACUACGUGCCAGCAGCCGCGGUAAUACGUAGGGGGCAAGCGUUAUCCGGAUUUACUGGGUGUAAAGGGGGCGCAGACGGCGAUGCAAGCCAGGAGUGAAAGCCCGGGGCCCAACCCCGGGACUGCUCUUGGAACUGUUUUUCUUGAGUACUGGAGAGGCAGACGGAAUUCCUAGUGUAGCGGUGAAAUGCGUAGAUAUUAGGAGGAACACCAGUGGCGAAGGCGGUCUGCUGGACAGCAACUGACGCUGAGGCGCGAAAGCGUGGGGAGCAAACAGGAUUAGAUACCCCAGUAA